rnacentral:tmRNA from 1 species
UUCACUUCCAAUCAAGGCGGAAGCGCCUAUAUAGGGCGUGCCGGAUUCGUCCGGAGAUGGCGAUGAACUGCGGCGUGCAAUAGGCACAGCGGACCCGGGGGCAGUACCCGGCGGCUCCACCAUAUUCCCCCGCUCGCGGGGGCGUCUGACGGGGCCGAACCAGGAUCGACGUGUGCUCAAAAGCGCAGCUUUCGCCCGGCCUGAAUGCGCCGCUAAACCGUUCAAAACACACAAGUGCCAACGAUAACGAGGCUCUUGCGAUUGCUGCGUAACCGAGGCCUCACGGCCUAAGUUACAAUGACAAAAGCGCGGUUGGACCGCACCGGGCAACAGAAGCGGAUACC